AGGUGGCGUUGCUAUAAUGCAGUCGACGCGUUGGCCCAACUGAUUGAACGUGCUUGCACGGACUUGACGUUGGUUUACCAGCGAGUGGCGGACGGGUGAGUAACACGUAGGUAACCUGCCCCAAAGCGGGGGAUAACAUUUGGAAACAGAUGCUAAUACCGCAUAACAAUUUGAAUCGCAUGAUUCAAACUUAAAAGAUGGCUUCGGCUAUCACUUUGGGAUGGACCUGCGGCGCAUUAGCUUGUUGGUAGGGUAACGGCCUACCAAGGCUGUGAUGCGUAGCCGAGUUGAGAGACUGAUCGGCCACAAUGGAACUGAGACACGGUCCAUACUCCUACGGGAGGCAGCAGUAGGGAAUCUUCCACAAUGGGCGCAAGCCUGAUGGAGCAACACCGCGUGAGUGAAGAAGGGUUUCGGCUCGUAAAGCUCUGUUGUUAGAGAAGAACGUGCGUGAGAGCAACUGUUCACGCAGUGACGGUAUCUAACCAGAAAGUCACGGCUAACUACGUGCCAGCAGCCGCGGUAAUACGUAGGUGGCAAGCGUUAUCCGGAUUUAUUGGGCGUAAAGCGAGCGCAGGCGGUUUGAUAAGUCUGAUGUGAAAGCCUUUGGCUUAACCAAAGAAGUGCAUCGGAAACUGUCAGACUUGAGUGCAGAAGAGGACAGUGGAACUCCAUGUGUAGCGGUGGAAUGCGUAGAUAUAUGGAAGAACACCAGUGGCGAAGGCGGCUGUCUGGUCUGCAACUGACGCUGAGGCUCGAAAGCAUGGGUAGCGAACAGGAUUAGAUACCCUGGUAGUCCAUGCCGUAAACGAUGAGUGCUAGGUGUUGGAGGGUUUCCGCCCUUCAGUGCCGCAGCUAACGCAUUAAGCACUCCGCCUGGGGAGUACGACCGCAAGGUUGAAACUCAAAGGAAUUGACGGGGGCCCGCACAAGCGGUGGAGCAUGUGGUUUAAUUCGAAGCUACGCGAAGAACCUUACCAGGUCUUGACAUCUUGCGCCAACCCUAGAGAUAGGGCGUUUCCUUCGGGAACGCAAUGACA
rnacentral:rRNA from 1 species